GGAGCGAUGCAGGAGCUGAACACCCUCACACUUACCCAAAGAAUACACAGCCUUGCUUAGGACAUGAUGAGUGGGAAGCUAAAUCUGCAGCAGGCAUGAGACCUGCACAGCAAUGUGUGUGUCCUUUGAAGAGCUCCCACAACCUGUUGGACCCGCAUGGACUGUACCUGAUCUAGGUGUAUGAAAAUGCUAUUUUCAGGCAGGCACAGACCCACAGCAUGUUGAAACAGCAGUUUGUAAGAGCUUGCCAGUAGUUACCCCCUAAUAGCUGUGGUGCAAUUAGUACAUGUGAGCUGUUGUGCACAUCCUGCCUGCUCCUCUCAUCAGAUCAGACAGCUGCACAGCACGCCUCCAGACAGGCACUGCAGAGAGCACCAGCACUGCAGGGCGUGCUCUGAACA
rnacentral:lncRNA from 12 species